rnacentral:rRNA from 1 species
GACGAACGCUGGCAGCGUGCCUAGCACAUGCAAGUCGAACGGAGUUUCCAGCAAUGGAUUCUUAGUGGCGAACGGGUGAGUAACGCGUAGACAACCUACCUUCGAGAUGGGGACAACACUGCGAAAGUGGUGCUAAUACCAAAUGUUGUAACGAGCAUGCAUAUGCUUGUUACUAAAGAUGGCCUCUAUUUAUAAGCUAUCGCUAGAAGAUGGGUCUGCGUCUGAUUAGCUAGUUGGUGAGGUAAUGGCUCACCAAGGCGACGAGCAGUAGCCGGACUGAGAGGAUGAACGGCCACACUGGGAAUGGGACACGGCCCAGACUCCUACGGGAGGCAGCAGUGGGGAAUCUUCCGCAAUGGACGAAAGUCUGACGGAGCAACGCCGCGUGAGUGAAGAAGGUUUUCGGAUCGUAAAACUCUGUUGUUAAGGACGAAUGUAUAGAUUGUGAAUAAUGGUUUAUAAUGACGGUACUUAACGAGGAAGCCACGGCUAACUACGUGCCAGCCGCCGCUGUAA